rnacentral:rRNA from 1 species
CCAAUAGCGUAUAUUAAAGUUGUUGCAGUUAAAAAGCUCGUAGUUGAAUUUCGGGAUUAGUACGUUGGUCGUGCCUUCGGUACGUACUGGUGUUACUGAUUCCUACCUUCUGAAGAACCAUCAUGUCAUUAAUUUGGUGUGGCGGGGAAUCAGGACUGUUACUUUGAAAAAAUUAGAGUGUUUAAAGCAGGCUCGCGCUUGAAUACAUUAGCAUGGAAUAAUGAAAUAGGACGUUGACCCUAUUUUGUUGGUUUCUAGGAUUGACGUAAUGAUUAAUAGUGAUAGUUGGGGGCAUUAGUAUUCAAUUGUCAGAGGUGAAAUUCUUGGAUUUAGUGAAGACUAACUACCGCGAAAGCAUUUGCCAAGGAUGUGUUCAUUAAUCAAGAACGAAAGUUAGGGGAUCGAAGACGAUCAGAUACCGUCGUAGUCUUAACCAUAAACUAUGCCGACUGGGGAUCGGAUGAUGUUAUUUUUAAUGACUCAUUCGGCGCCUUACG